rnacentral:misc_RNA from 1 species
AAGUCGUAACAAGGUUUCCGUAGGUGAACCUGCGGAAGGAUCAUUAAACGUAUCCACGUAUAACCCAAUGCGAACUCGUUUUCACAAUCAACAUGUGAGUGGUGGCGCUUGAGAUAGCGUGAGUGCACAGGUGGGCAAUUUCUUUCGGGAAAGCUGCUCUGAGCUCUGCUUAUCGAGUCACGUGUCACAUUGUUCUUAUCCUGUGAUGUCAUUUCAUUUAAACUCUUGUAAUUUCUUGAUGAACUCUGCGUCAGCUUAACGGUUGACGUGAAAUAUAAAUGAAACUUAAGCACAACUCUUAACAACGGAUAUCUAGGCUCUC